UAUUUAUUAUUCAUAAUCAUUAAUUGAUAUAUAUAUAUAUAUUAAUCAUAUUAGGUAAUUUCAUAGCUUUUAUUUAAGGAAAGUGUGAGAAUAUUUUUUGUACAUUAUUUAUCAAUUUGAUAGUUAGUUUAAUAAAAAGUAUAAUAUAAGUUAAGAUGGACCAACCUAUUUUUCUAUAAUUCUGAAUUUUAUACUCAUGGUGACACUUUGAUACAAAACAAUGUUGUAAUGUUUUUCAAUUAAUAUAUAAGGGAUAACUUAAAUCAGAUAAAUUCUGACGCAUUGCAACAUUCUUGUUGUAUUAUUUUCAUCACGACCUGAUUGAUCUUCACGUUGUACUAUCUCUACACCUCCAUCACCUGGAACAUGGAAAAACAAACUUAAAAGAUCAAGUUUUGGUCGUAAAACUUUUAAUCUGAUCAAACAAAUAAAAAAUUUAACAGACGCUGAGAAUAUAGUGUCCGAGUUUCUUCCAACUGUGACAUCUCCAAAU
rnacentral:lncRNA from 1 species